UGUCAACUAUCUCGAAUACUAGUGUGCUCCUUUAUGUCCAAAAUAACCAUGAUUUUAUCAUUUUCUAGUAUUUUGGUUUACCAAAAACACAAGCCUUGGUGGCUGUAAGAGGAGAUUGGGGAUUGUUUGUGGUGCUGGUUUGAUGCUUCCAGUUGAUCCAUGGGCACCCAACAUUGAUUCACAGAGCCUUGCCUCACAGCUUUUUGCUUUCUCUUUAUUUCCUUACAUUGGUAUCUUGUACUUCAUUACCAAAUCCAAGUCUGCUCCUAAGCUCACUCUCUUUGGUUUCUACUUCUUGCUUGCAUUUGUUGGGGCUACAACUUUUGUAAGCUAUAUGUCUUUCUUCGUAAUUGUACCUUGGUGGCUUCACUUCUGUUGAGCAGUCCCGGCUAGAAUUUAUGGUAACUUCUCCCAUUAAAUAGGAUUUUACUUGAACAUUCAUCAGCUUUAUUCUUCAUGCCUAUGUCUUAACUUUCUAUUGGGACUUGAUGGUUGCAUGGUUGAGGCAGCGAAGGUGCGUUAUGGUACUUCCUUACCUAAUGUGGAUGGAUUGGUUGCACGGUGGGGCUGAGGCACUUCUCACUCUAACCAACUUAUUCAUUGUCUUGGGGCUAAGACAAGCUCUUAGGAAUGCAAGUGGUUCCAGAAAAAGAUCAUCAGAUCCUGUUUCAGCAAUCGAAGAGGAGAAGAAGUCUUCCAUCUAGAGAAUACUCUAUACUUUCUGCAGUCCAUGUCACUUCUGCUCCGCCAAGUGCACCUAUGCAUCAAGCCUUCAAUUCCAACUGAAUGCUCGAGAUAUUCAAAACGCUUAUAAGGAACACAAAUUUCCAACUUAGCAUUUAGUAAAUCGUAUAUAUUUCUAAGGGUACAAUCUUGAUAUGUGGUUAUUGUCUUUAGAAACUUCAUCAGUAUGUGUGAUAUCCUAAGAAUGACAGAAUGUCUUUGCCAGCUAUCAUGUAAAAGAUCAUGUUCAACAAGAGUGAUGAAUCCAUUGUACUGUACUGUCUCUCCAUGAUAUUUAAAUUUAUUCUCAUUUUACGAGAAUUCUAAAGUUUUUACC